rnacentral:ncRNA from 1 species
CGUCGGUACGGUAUUUGCCUACCGAGGUUCUUACGGGUGACGGCGAAUCAGGGUUCGAUUCCGGAGAGGGAGCCUGAGAAACGGCUACCACAUCCAAGGAAGGCAGCAGGCGCGCAAAUUACCCAUUCCCGACGCGGGGAGGUAGUGACGAAAAAUAACAAUGCAGGACUCGUUCGAGGCCCUGUAAUUGGAAUGAGUACACUUUAAAAGCUUUAACGAGUAUCCAUUGGAGGGCAAGUCUGGUGCCAGCAGCCGCGGUAAUUCCAGCUCCAAAAGUAUAUAUUUAAGUUGUUGCGGUUAAAAAGCUCGUAGUUGGAUUUUGGGCGCAGGCGGCCGGUCCGUCGCAAGGCGUGUACUGGACGUCCUGGCCUUCCCUCCGGUUCUCCGCCGGUGCUCUUGACUGAGUGUCGGCGGCGGCCGGAACGUUUACUUUGAAAAAAUUAGAGUGUUCAAAGCAGGCUCUCGAGCCUGGAUAAUGGUGCAUGGAAUAAUGGAAUAGGACCUCGGUUCUAUUUUGUUGGUUUUCGGAGCGCGAGGUAAUGAUUAAGAGGGACAGACGGGGGCAUUCGUACUGUGCCGUUAGAGGUGAAAUUCUUGGAUCGGCGCAAGACGAACGACUGCGAAAGCAUUUGCCAAGAAUGUUUUCUUUAAUCAAGAGCGAAAGUCAGAGGUUCGAAGACGAUCAGAUACCGUCCUAGUUCUGACUAUAAAC